CAAGGAAUAGUUUAUUAAAAAUGUUAAUUUUGGGGAUUGAUGAUGGGAUUUUUUCUUUUCUUUGA
rnacentral:tRNA from 1 species